GCGUAGCUCAAUUGGUAAGAGCGUGCUGCUAAUAAUGCCAAGAUGGCAGGUUCAAUCCCCGUAUGGGACAGCUGCA